AAAAGAUAAAAAAGAAGAAGAAGGGGCAUUGAUAAAAACAUAGUAGCUAGUAAACCUGAUAAUGAAAAUACUAAUAAAUAAAACUACUAGUAAAUAAAUAUAUUUUUAAGAAAAGAAGCAAUUGAACAAUAAACAACGAAACAUAGUGUCAGAAGUGUAGUCGAAAAUCACCGACAGCUUAAAAAGAAUAAAAAAUAAAAGUUAGACAGAAGCCAUUUUCCCUCCAAUAAAUAUAAUUAAAAACGAGGAGUUAAAAAUAAGAAAAUCGUACGGAUGUAUCAAAAGUGUAGUGAAAAAUGGAAUACUUCAAGUCCCCGGAAGCGUUUAACGUACAGGAGCCACAUGGAUGGUCCAAAUGGAAGCAAAUAUUUGUAAUAUUUUUGUUAGCUUCAGGAAAAAGCACUACUGAGGAAAAUAUAAAAGUAGCUGUUGAAUAUUCUUCUAUAUCUAUAAUACAUUUGAAACAACCAAAACUUAAAAACUAAAUGAAGUGUUAUUUUGUUUUGAUGAUCAUUUCUUACCCAAAGAAAUGACAAACAGCACCAAAACAAGUGGUAAGAACGAGGUAAUUAUUCUAAUUCCAAACAGCCAGAAAACGGGAGGCAGGGAGAAUAUUGGUCAAAUGAACAAGAUGAAGCUGAGGUUAAGAAACUAAAUCAGAAGUACAGGUUUUGGGCAAUGUAAACUCAGAAUUCAGAUAUUAUAAGUAGGGACAAUGCAGAGUAAAAAUGGUUAAAAUUAUGAAGCUGAAGAAAGCCACAGAGUUUAAAAAUAUUAGCAUUCAAAUAACACCAACAUUAUGAAUUAGUGAAAGGUAGUAGGAAGAAGCUUCAGAACAUAUGCGGAGAACCAGAAUAAAACAGGUCUUUCCAAUAUUGAAAUGCUCCAUCUUUUGAAUGUCAACUACAAUUCAUUGAUGGAAACACAAAUAAUAAUGAAAGAAAAUUUGUAGGAUGCCACUUCAAAUUAUUGUAUUCAUUAUUUGACAGGAAAAUGAUUUUUUUAUACUCAGUUGAAGAGUAGUAGUAUAGGAGCUAGUAACGUUUUUGAGAGAGAAUUCCAGGUCAGUUGAUUUUUUGAUAUGUCGUUAUUCUUACUCUUUCGGUUAGAGUCUGGGCUACCUGGCUAGCAGUAGCAGUUUCGUUUGUUAAUGCGUAUCCUACUUGUACAAGUAAUAAUCCUGAAUUUUUUUAUAAUUAUUGAACGCGUAAUUUUUAAAGUUUUGUCUUUAGAUAGGUCUCACAGACACACAUUUUUUAUUGCCAGGCAUUUUCAGUGUGCGAAUUUUUUAUUUCCUAAAAUCUAAAAAUUCAAAACAUUUUAGAAUGUCCGUAUUUUUUAUAUUGUAUUCUUUGAAGAUAAAAUAGUCUAAAGAUAAUUUGCCAAAAAAAUUAAAAACUCAUGUAAAGUAUUGCCCUAUGAUGCUAGUAGUCAGAGAGAAAGAGAGAGAGUUGUAGAAUAUGAUCAAGAAUGAGACGAAAAUAAUUUCAAAAUUACGUUACUUACAUUCCUUCUAUUCAGAACAAAUUUAUAUAUAAGAAAUUCAAACAUUGGAACAGAAAUAAAAUUGGAAUAAAGUUCAAUUAGAGAGAAGAAAAUUGAAAAAUGCGUCAUUAACGUUUUAAAAUUUAUUGAAUUUAUUGAAAAUAAAAUUUGAUUUUUCUAACAUUUAAAAGUCCCAACUUUACCUUUUCUAAAAAAUGCUGGCGUGUACUUACAUCCAGUAAGCACCUGGAAACAUGGUAUAGCUUUCUAUAAAGAGACACCAAGGAUUCAGUACAGUUCAUUUACGUUGAUGUAUCGCUGAUGAUUGCCUACACCCAUAUUUUUCCAAAUUUUUGAAAGAUGCGUUUAAAUGAUCCAUAUUUUCCAGAAGUAUAAUUUAAAUAUCAGAGUCUGAACAGCAUAUAACAAAUUCUGCGUCUAAAUCAAUUUGACAAAUGUGGAAAAUAAUUCUAGAAUCAGCUUCUUCUUGUUUUUCACAUGAUAAUGAUUCUUCAGUAAUUUUAAUAUGUUAUUUGUAAUUUUUUAAGAAUGACAUUUAUUAGAACUUCCGUAAAUUGUUUUAUUAACAAUAAAAGUUAUAAUAUUUCUUCAGUAUCCCAGUGAUUAAUGAAAAAGUUGAACAAGAGCUUGUUUGAAUUGGAUAUUUUUGAGUUCUGCUCCAAAAUUAUGUGGCCGAACUUGAUUUGGACAAAUAGAUAUUGGACAAGUUUAUUCUUCUCGGCGUGAACGCUCACAAUCUUUGAUAGACGGCAAAAAAUAUUGGUCGAAGAUAAUGUCAAUCCGAAUAGAUUUCUUAUGGAAGAUAGUACUCAGAAAUUUUUUAGAUAUACCGUCAUAUGUACAUCUUUCAUUAGAUGCAACAAAAAGAAAACAUCAACAAGACAAACAUCAAAAGAUGACAUUUGUUGCUCAACAGUGUCUAUGAGCUUAGCUAACUGUGAUUUGUUAGUUUUACAGAUUGAACCAUCCGGAUGACACAUUGAUGUUGGCAUUGGAGUAAGUGGGAAUGUCAAAACUUUCUCGAUAUGAACCUUAUGAGUGAAGGAAAUCCCCAACAUUCUACUGAAUAGAAUCACAACUCAACAAUUUUAUUCCUUAAAUCAAUUUAUUUUUCUUUGGCGAUUUAGCAAAAUUAAAGACUUUAGUUUUUUUAUUGGCUUCACAAAUCUACUUUCAUCUUCAACGCAUUCAUUGACAAAUUGGUUCCUUAAAUCAUUACCAUUUUCUCAUUAUUUAGUAGAAAAUUCGCAACCUUAGGAGAAGCAGGUCUUGAAGUAGCAAUCUUGUACAAAUUCUCCUUAUAUAAUGUUUGAUCGAAUCAAUUUUUUUCGAUUAUUUCAAUGAAAUCAGCAAUUUGUUUUCCAUAGAUUUUUAUUCUAUUGGGUUGUAAUUUUGCUGUAACAUCUUACCUUAAGACAAACAUCCAAGACAUGUGCGUUGACGUGCAGCUAUAAAAUUAGUAAAGUGAGCAAUUCCACUCAGUCAUUUUGCCACAUCGGCAUUUAUAGUUGGUUCUAAAGUGAGAUCUAUUGGUUCUCAUGAGAAUGGCUUAUCAGUUCUCUUGACUCCAAAAUAUCCUUUAUUAAAAUCAUCUUCUAGUCCGGGAUAGGUUUUACUGACAUUAUUCAAAUUAUCUGAAUAUUUUACUCAAUAUCGAGCGUAAUUAGGUUGAUUAAUCAAUUGAUUGGUAUAAUCAAUAUUCGUGUUGGUGAUAAAUGUUCUGAAUAACAAUUCCCAUCAUCUUAGUUCAAUUCGCUAUGGGAAUUAUUAUCGAUGUUUUGGUAAAUCUCCACAGUAUCAUGUCAAGUUUCUUUUCCGUCCAAGGUGUCAAUGUAUCUUAUCAAAAUUGUCAAAGGCAACACCAGGGCACAGUGAGGAAUUUAUAAUGAUGUCUGGCGGACAAACUUGAUACCUUUAUAACGAUGCAAUUGUUGCUUCUGUUUCCAAUUCUUCUAGAGUAUUGUAGUUACAGCAAUCUCCUAAUCUAUUUGAAAUAUUUAUUUUUUUUUACUGCUUGUUGGACUUUUCAUCGUCGUACCAAGAGUAAUACGUUACCCAAAAAAAAUGCAUCAGCAGCAAUGGAGGAACUCAAUCCAUAGCAAUUUAAACCGUCUUCGCAUCUAAUAUAUCCACCCCCCAUAAAAACUUUGAGGAAUCGAUCUAAUUUAUCUGGAAUCUCACAUUCGCUAGCAAUUAAAUCGUCAGGUUUAUUUUUUGGUAGUUUUGAUUUUUCAAUUCUUAAAUAGUUUCUCGCAAGAUUAAUACGACUUUCUCAAUAAGGUCGUUUUCUUUGAGUUUACUAAUAUCAUCUUCUAAUAAACUAGAAUCUUUAGCAGGGCCGAGCCUAGGGUAUCCGUCGCCCGGAUGCAAGAAUAAAAUAUGCCGCCUUAUUAGCGUACCUAGUCGACAUUUGAUUAGUGAGGCGAGAUAUGAGGUAAAUUUCUAGUCUAGUAGGAUAGAAAUGUACCUACCUACAUACGCCGGGAAAAUAUUCAUUUGUAAAAAUCGUCUCUAUCUAGCAAAUGUGUCUAUAUCUUAUUGGAGAUAGGAAUACUUGUAUAAUUGUAUAAUUCAAUGCCGAUUUAUUAACAAAUAUAUAAACACGUGAAGAAACUAAAAUUUACAUUCUCGAGUUAGUAAAUAAUAGUCUGUUAUGUCCUGAAUGUCCUCCAAAAAUAGGGUUAUUAUGAUAUCUUUCUAGGAUCUGCGUUAUUUCUUCUUUCGUUUCCAUUACUUUUGGAACGCUACAUAUACUUAUUUGUAUAUUUUUCAAUUUUCUUUUACUUUCUUCUAUAAGUUCUUUAAUUGUGCACUUUGUAAAAAUAUAAUUAUUUUCAUAAAUCUUAUUUCCUCUAUUCCAUACUUUAUCUACAGUUUAUCGAGUUUCUCCAAUGUUCGUCCUAAUUCGAAGUUGUCGUAAUUUACUUCCAAAUACUUUAUUUAUGUAUGUACUUUAUUUAAAUUAUAAGAGAAAUUACACGUGGUAGGCCAACCUUUAUAAUACAA